rnacentral:rRNA from 1 species
UACGUAGGGUGCGAGCGUUAAUCGGAAUUACUGGGCGUAGAGCGUGCGCAGGCGGCGCGUUAAGACAGGUGUGAAAGCCCCGAGCUUAACUUGGGAAUUGCGCUUGUGACUGGCGUGCUGGAGUGUGGCAGAGGGAGGUGGAAUUCCACGUGUAGCAGUGAAAUGCGUAGAGAUGUGGAGGAACACCGAUGGCGAAGGCAGCCUCCUGGGCCAGCACUGACGCUCAUGCACGAAAGCGUGGGGAGCAAACAGG